GUGAGUCAUCGAAUCUUUGAACGCACAUUGCGCCCGCCAGCAUUCUGGCGGGCAUGCCUGUUCGAGCGUCAUUUCAACCCUCGACUUCCCUUUGGGGUGCGCUGGCGUUGGGGCUCCUCCGCCCUCUGUGGCGGCAGGGCCCUCAAAACCAGUGGCGGGCCCGUCUGGUUGGCUCCGAGCGCAGUACCGAACGCAAGUUCUCUCUCUCGCUCUGCAGCCCCGGUCGGUGCCCAGCCGUCAAGCCGCGCAGGCGGCCCUGCUUGCAGGACCGCCUCGCACUUUUCACAAGGUUGACCUCGGAUCAGGUAGGAUUACCCGCUGAACUUAA
rnacentral:rRNA from 1 species